rnacentral:sRNA from 1 species
UUUUAGCCCUGAUGGAAGUGGCAUCCUUUUUUGGGUUAUUCUGACAGAGGAAGAAUAAUCCAAAAAAGAUAUAACGGACAGCAGGAAUAGCU